GAAACUUUCACAGACUCCCUGACACUUCAACUGUGUUACUUUCUUAUUUUUAUAUAAUGAAUAUAGCUCAACUUUCUUUCUUUUUUUUUUUUUUGUAGCACAUACUGAACACAAACAAAACAAAACAAAAAGAGAAAAAAAAAAAAAGCAAAAUAAGAAAAAAACCAACAGUGAGACAUUGCAUUUAAGAGAGUCUGAAGGCCAUGUGGGAAAGAAGAGAAGUGGCAAUUAUGUUUACAUGUGGAGAAAAAUACUCCAAGGUCCUCACACUUUUUCCAGGAGACCAAGAAAUGGCAAUUCAAAGGCAAAUGAGUUGUCACAAAGAAUUUCAGAGACUAAGCAGACACAAAGAAUACAGAAGAGGUAACACCUUUUAAUAUAUCACUGUUCCUGCGACCACCACACUGAGUUUCUCUAUUUAUUAUUUCC
rnacentral:lncRNA from 1 species